UACAUGGGGGUGCAAACGUUGCUCGGAAUUAUUGGGCGUAAAGCGCACGUAGGCGGUUCGUUAAGUCGGAUGUGAAAGCCCUCGGCUCAACUGAGGAAGUGCACCCGAAACUGGCGAGCUUGAGUACGAAAAGAGGAUCGCGGAAUUCCCGGUGUAGAGGUGAAAUUCGUAGAUAUUCGCAAGAACACCAGUGGCGAAGGCGGCUUACUGGACCGGUUCUGACGCUGAGGCGCGAAAAGCGUGGGGGAGCAAACAGG
rnacentral:rRNA from 1 species